CCUACGGGGGGCAGCAGUGAGGAAUAUUGGUCAAUGGGCGGGAGCCUGAACCAGCCAAGCCGCGUGAGGGAAGAAGGUACAGCGUAUCGUAAACCUCUUUUGUCAGGGAACAAAGGCGGGGACUAGUCCCCGGAUGAGGGUACCUGAAGAAAAAGCAGCGGCUAACUCCGUGCCAGCAGCCGCGGUAAUACGGAGGAUGCGAGCGUUAUCCGGAUUUAUGGGGUUUAAAGGGUGCGCAGGCGGCCUGUUAAGUCAGCGGUAAAAGCCCGGGGCUCAACCCCGGCGAGCCGUUGAUAGUGGCGGGCUGGAGUUGGAGAGAAGUACGCGGAAUGCGCGGUGUAGCGGUGAAAUGCUUAGAUAUCGCGCAGAACCCCGAUUGCGAAGGCAGCGUACCGGCUCCACACUGACGCUGAGGCACGAAAGCGUGGGUAUCGAACAGGAUUAGAUACCCUUGUAGUC
rnacentral:rRNA from 1 species